AGUGAACGCUGGCGGUAGGCCUAACACAUGCAAGUCGAACGGCAGCACAGUAAGAGCUUGCUCUUACGGGUGGCGAGUGGCGGACGGGUGAGGAAUACAUCGGAAUCUACUUUUUCGUGGGGGAUAACGUAGGGAAACUUACGCUAAUACCGCAUACGACCUACGGGUGAAAGCAGGGGAUCUUCGGACCUUGCGCGAUUGAAUGAGCCGAUGUCGGAUUAGCUAGUUGGCGGGGUAAAGGCCCACCAAGGCGACGAUCCGUAGCUGGUCUGAGAGGAUGGUCAGCCACACUGGAACUGAGACACGGUCCAGACUCCUACGGGAGGCAGCAGUGGGGAAUAUUGGACAGUGGGCGCAAGCCUGAUCCAGCCAUACCGCGUGGGUGAAGAAGGCCUUCGGGUUGUAAAGCCCUUUUGUUGGGAAAGAAAAGCAGCAGGUUAAUACCCCGCUGUUCUGACGGUACCCAAAGAAUAAGCACCGGCUAACUUCGUG
rnacentral:rRNA from 1 species